rnacentral:rRNA from 1 species
AGUGAAUACGGAGGGUGCAAGCGUUAAUCGGAAUUAACUGGGCGUAAAGCGCGCGUAGGCGGCUUGUCACGCCGGGUGUGAAAGCCCCGGGCUCAACCUGGGAACGGCAUCCGGAACGGGCAGGCUAGAGUGCAGGAGAGGAAGGUAGAAUUCCCGGUGUAGCGGUGAAAUGCGUAGAGAUCGGGAGGAAUACCAGUGGCGAAGGCGGCCUUCUGGACUGACACUGACGCUGAGGUGCGAAAGCGUGGGUAGCAAACAGGAUUAGAUACCCUGGUAGUCCACGCCGUAAACGAUGUCGACUAGCCGUUGGGUCCCUUGAGGACUUAGUGGCGCAGUUAACGCGAUAAGUCGACCGCCUGGGGAGUACGGCCGCAAGGUUAAAACUCAAAUGAAUUGACGGGGGCCCGCACAAGCGGUGGAGCAUGUGGUUUAAUUCGAUGCAACGCGAAGAACCUUACCUACCCUUGACAUCCUGCGAACCCGGAAGAGAUUCCGGGGUGCCUUCGGGAGCGCAGAGACAGGUGCUGCAUGGCUGUCGUCAGCUCGUGUUGUGAAAUGUUGGGUUAAGUCCCGUAACGAGCGCAACCCUUGUCCCUAUUUGCCAGCGAUUCGGUCGGGAACUCUAGGGAGACUGCCGGUGACAAACCGGAGGAAGGUGGGGACGACGUCAAGUCAUCAUGGCCCUUACGGGUAGGGCUACACACGUGCUACAAUGGCCGGUACAAAGGGUUGCGAAGCCGCGAGGUGAAGCCAAUCCCAGAAAGCCGGCCUCAGUCCGGAUUGGAGUCUGCAACUCGACUCCAUGAAGUCGGAAUCGCUAGUAAUCGUGCAUCAGAAUGGCACGGUGAAUACGUUCCCGGGCCUUGUACACACCGCCCGUCACACCAUGGUUAGUGGUAUA